CUUAUUUCUAUCUGGGUGGUCGCAGAUACGGAUAUAAGGGAAUAGUGAUGUUCAAAAUCUACAUUAACUUUUCUUGGGUUUAUCGUUUAUAGCAGUAUAUGGAACCAAGGAAUUAUUAUAUGGCAGCACCCUGUAUCUACACUUAGGUAGUUGGGAUGAUAAAUAGUGCCCAACCCAUAAGUUCUGAAAUCUCCAAUAUGUUACUACUUUUUUUUACAGAUCAAGCAAAUAAGCCUGAAAGGAAGUCCUUAUUAGUUCUUUUUUGUGUGUCUUUCUUUUCUUUCUUCUGAACCUGCUACCCUAGCUAGUUCUUGUCUCUGUGCCGUGAUUCUCUUUCAGAGUCUUUCUGACGCCCCUUUUUUUGCCAAUAAAAAGUAAAGAAGAAACUGUCUAUUUGGACAGACUGUAUUAUUCCGUCCACCUACCUAGUAUCAAAUUCUCAAAGCAGUACACUUAGUAGUUGCUAUUACCCUACAAAAAGAAAUGGAUUCCACAUUCAUUUAAUAAUAGAAGUCAAGCAUGUAAUUAGAACCACUCAAAAUGUUACUUAAACAAACUAUUUCCUUGCACGCAACUCUAAAGAAGGCACUGACAAACAAAGAUGCUCGGGAAAAGGAUAAUAGCUGAGACGGGGUCAGUGUGUUUUCUAGUUUUCUUAUCUCUUACAAUUACUCACCCAGUAAACAUAUGCAGAGUUCCAUUCCAAAUUGAUUCGAGGCACUAAUUUGUAACCCUACUCUCCCUUGUGAAAUAUCUCACAUUGUAAGUAGAUAGAUUCAGCAGUCAAUGAGGCUCUUCUACACCAGGUUCUGUUCUACCCUGAAACUGAUGGUCGUCUUACGACAUGGCGUAAAAGGUGAAUAUGUUCUCCUGCUCCCCUUGGAGUUCUUUACACUUGCUUAUACACAGAUGCUUCAUUGAGAUUCCCCGUGGUGCACAUAGGCUGUUACUGCAACCUUGGGGCCUUCCUUUGUUGACCGCCUUUAGAAUAAAGGAAGAUUCUUUGGAUCGUUCAUCUUGCUGUUAUGUUUUGUCUUUUCAUUUCUUUUCCUUCCUGAUUAUCUUCCUCGUUUUUGUGUUUGUGUACAAUUCGUUCAUCACUAACAAACAAUGGGUUUUUGUUCUUACCAUUGUCCCUAUAUAUUAGUGCCUAUCACUUGUAUGUUCCUCAAUUCAUCCAUGUGAAUUUGUCAUAUACCAUAAAAUGAGCGAUACAAACAGAAAGAGGAAUGCUAGCUGAGUUACAAGUGGAUGCGAGGUUUGGCAGCGAAUAAUUGUAGCUGGUAAUGGCAUAUAUCAUGCACGAUUGCUAUCAUUGCAUGCAUAUAUUUGCCUUGUAUGAUGUUCUAGUGUUGUCUGUAACUUUAUUCAAAAUUUUAUCCAAAAACUUGUGCUGUUUCGAUGUUGGAUAUUGUGCAUAACUGUUAUUUUUUGACUAACAAACUCACGUUUCAUCAGUCACAUGUAUUUUAUAAAUAUAUAUCAUUCAUGACAAUAAUAAUGCUGUGAUUACAUCUGAUUUGUGCGUCUUGUUGGUCAAACUUUAUGCGACACAUGACUGAAAAUUUUGUAGGCAUGUUUGAAUGGAUUAUUUAACUUACUAGAAUUAUUUUUUUGUUUUGUACUCACAGGUGAGCUGAAAGUUUAGUUGCUGCUGCAAAUGGUGGUAUUCCAUGAUCUGCUACAUUGAGCUUUUUGCUGCUUAAAAUCUUCCUAUCCAAUGAGUACUCUACAUGGCUACUUGAAAGUUAUAUGUUUAUACAAGAAAGGGUUGCAUAGAUGCAAUCUAGUACUUCCUUUUGGUGUCGAUUAAUUUGCCGCAGAUGAAGGCAAGUGCCACUUAAGUAGAAUUUAGGACCACCAUUAAAGUGAGUGGUCCUGAGCAUGCUUGCAUCCAUCCAUGAUCUAUCUGCCAUGGAUUGUUCAACACUGAGCAACCACUUAAUUAGCAUAUUCAGGUUUGCACAUUGACUUGAUGUGGUGUGCUGAUUUUGUAAGCAGGAAAUUGCUCCAUGAUGCCUGGCUUUACUUCCGUGCUCCAUCAUGUGUGGUCCUUGAAUUCUUGGUGGCAACUGGCAAGGUAACAUUUGAUCUAAGCGAAGUGUUAUUCUACUGGAGUAAAACUUGAGAGGAAUGACAGAUCUUUGAUCAAGCAACCACAUGCCCUGCACUACCCUGCAUAUAUGCCUAGAGAAAAAGCAAGUUACAGGCCAACAGUUUUGGCCAGUGAGCAAGCACAAAAGCAGGAAAAGAAGGGAUUAACCUAAAGCUAAAGCGACCUCUCUUUUGCCCCGCACCUUUUUUAGGGCAACGAACAUUUCCAAGGAGACAGUGUAUGUGGAGUGCACCCCGUAGCACACGUAGAAGAUGGUGAUCACAAGGCUCCAGAUGCCGAACCUCUGGAAGGACCUCACCUUCAGGGUUGUCAUGAGGAACACAUUCAGGAAGACGGACGCGGCGGCCGGC